UACGAAGGGGGCGAGCGUUGUUCGGAUUUACUGGGCGUAAAGGGCGCGCAGGCGGCCAUUCAAGUCAGGCGUGAAAGCCCCGGGCUUAACCUGGGAGGUGCGCUUGGGACUGGGUGGCUAGAGAUCGGGAGAGGAGAGUGGAAUUGCGAGUGUAGAGGUGAAAUUCGUAGAUAUUCGCAAGAACACCGGUGGCGAAGGCGGCCAACUGGUCCGGAUCUGACGCUGAGGCGCGAAAGCGUGGGGAGCAAACAGG
rnacentral:rRNA from 1 species